rnacentral:rRNA from 1 species
GACGAACGCUGGCGGCGUGCUUAACACAUGCAAGUCGAACGGUGAAGCGCCUUCCUUUCUGGUGGGUGUGGAUGAGCGGCGAACGGGUGAGUAACACGUGAGUAACCUGCCCCCUUUUUCUGGAUAACCGCAUGAAAGAGUGGCUAAUAGGGGAUAUUCUGGGUCUGUCGCAUGAUGGGUCUGGGAAAGAUAUUGUUUCGGUGGGGGCUGGGCUCGCGGCCUAUGAGGUUGUUGGGGGAGUGAUGGCCUACCAAGGCGGUGCCGGGUAGCCGGCCUGGGAGGGUGGACCGCCACGCGGGGACGGAGACACGACCCAUACUCCGGCGGGCGGCAGCGGGGGGUAAUAUAGCACAAUGGGAGCAAUGCUGAUGCAGCGACGCGUGGUUGGAGAUGGACUUCUGCUGGUUGUGAACCUCUUUCACGAGUGAAACAGGCCUGCCUCGUUUGUGGGUGGGUUGACGGUAGCUGAAUAAGAAGCGCCGGCUAACUACGUG